rnacentral:lncRNA from 1 species
UCAAGCAAAGGCUCCUUUUAGUGUAGGGUCGAUAAAAAGUCAGGCCGAUCAAAGUUAAUCCCUAAAAGUCAGGCCGGUCAAAGGCCAUUCGAUUGAAACCAUUCUAUCUUCUUUCUACAUUGGCUGAUCGAGGGCUAAGCCAACAAAAUAGGAUUAUAGGUAGCUAACCACUCAGGGUAUGGCUUUUGGAUACGCAGUUUGAUAUGACCUGAUGAGGUUGCGUGGUGGCCACCCUUGAUGUUUUACCAUUCGGCCGACACCUGUGCCAUAGGAUACUAGCUCACAAGUGGGACCCAUGUUUGGUGGAAGGGUAAGGGUUCGGAGG